GGCGACCGGAUUACAAUUCCAGCCAGCAUGAACACGGGACGGCGCGCAGUCCUGAAGGGCGAAGCAGGGCUGCGCCGGGCUUGCUGUACAUGCUGGGAGCUGUAGUCUUUUCACCGCUCCCGCCCGUUGUUUCAAGCGCUUCGGGACUACAAUCCCAGCAUGCCCCGGGCUCGGGGGCGGGGCGCAGUUCUUGUGGGAGGAGCGGGGCGGUGAGCGCCUGGCCGGGCAGGCUGGAAACGGUAGCUCUUAACUGUUCCCCGCCCGUUGAUGACGAGGCGGCUGGACUAGAAUCCCAGCAGGAGACAUGCGAGGAGGCGGGCAGCCCAAGAGGGUUGGGCAGGGCAGUGUGGACCUCGCCGCUUCCACAGCGAUGCUGGCUACUGAUCGCGGGCACCUCCUUGCCAUGGGAUACAGCCCAUAGCUGGUUGCAUCUUGUCAGAGGCAAACACCCGGAGAUGGAGAUGUGUGUCUCAGUCCUAAGCCCAAGUCUCCAGAGAAGAGCAUCUGGAGGGCCCUCCAGGGUCCAUCCCAACCCAAAUCUUCUGUAGUCAAGAACAAGGAGCCAGUGGUGCAGACACAGAUGCAGUUCCAUCGCUUGGGCCCCACCAAGGAAAGAAGCAGUUCUCAGAGACUAGAGUGGAGGAUGGAGACAGGCUGGGCCCACACCCCCAUGCCCCACAGGUACCUACUACGACUCCCCAGAAAUAAACAUUUCCCCAGUCCUGACUCUAUGGCUGCCUUUCAUCUCCCAGAGCCUCCCCUCCACAUCUUAUUGGGAUUGAGGUCCCCAGCCUCAGAGCUGCCUGCCUCUACCCCUGGAUCUGUCCCCUGUUCCUACAAGCCCACCCCUCGCCAAUAUUAUACUCCCAAAGUUACCACUCCCCACUGGGGAUAAUCUCAAAGUUGAAGCCCUACCCUCAAGGUGCUUACAAUCUAGUUGGCGAUACCAAACCAAC
rnacentral:lncRNA from 1 species